UUCCGGUUGAUCCUGCCGGACCUGACUGCUAUCGGAUUGAUACUAAGCCAUGCGAGUCUUUGCAGUAAUGCAAGGCAUACGGCUCAGUAACACGUAGUCAACUUACCCUAUGGACGAGGAUAAUCUCGGGAAACUGAGCAUAAUACUCGAUAGAUCAUAAUGCCUGGAAUGGUUUAUGGUUGAAACGAUUCGUCGCCAUAGGAUGGGACUGCGGCCUAUCAGCUUGUUGGUGAGGUAAUGGCCCACCAAGGCGAUUACAGGUACGGGCUCUGAGAGGAGAAGCCCGGAGAUGGGUACUGAGACAAGGACCCAGGCCCUAUGGGGCGCAGCAGGCGAGAAAACUUUGCAAUGUGCGAAAGCACGACAAGGUUAAUCCGAGUGAUUUCUGCUAAAGAAAUCUUUUGCAAGUCAUAAAACCACUAGUGAAUAAGGGGUGGGCAAGUUCUGGUGUCAGCCGCCGCGGUAAAACCAGCACCUCAAGUGGUCAGGAGGAUUAUUGGGCCUAAAGCAUCCGUAGCCGGCUCUGUAAGUUUUCGGUUAAAUCCAUGUGCUCAACGCAUGGGCUGCCGAAAAUACUGCAUAGCUAGGGAGUGGGAGAGGUAGACGGUACUCGGUAGGAAGGGGUAAAAUCCUUUGAUCUAUCGAUGACCACCUGUGGCGAAGGCGGUCUACCAGAACACGUUCGACGGUGAGGGAUGAAAGCUGGGGGAGCAAACCGGAUUAGAUACCCGGGUAGUCCCAGCUGUAAACGAUGCAGACUCGAUGAUGCAUUGGCAUAUAGCCAGUGCAGUGUCGCAGGGAAGCCGUUAAGUCUGCCGCCUGGGAAGUACGUACGCAAGUAUGAAACUUAAAGGAAUUGGCGGGGGAGCACCACAAGGGGUGAAGCCUGCGGUUCAAUUGGAUUCAACGCC
rnacentral:rRNA from 1 species